UAAGCCCGCGUGGGAGAGACCGCGACCCCGGGAGGGGGGUCGUGGCGCCGAAGGAGCAACCGCCCCGGAAACUCUCAGGCAAAAGGACCGCGCAUGGGCA
rnacentral:ncRNA from 2 species